rnacentral:lncRNA from 1 species
CAUGAGUGAAGGGUCAGCAUGCGGCCCUGGAGUUGCCGCAAGUUGGGAUACUGCCCUGCCCAGCUUUGGGGGCCACCACGAGGGAGUUAGAGGAGGUCCUUCCCACUGCCCACGCCUGCCCCGGCGCAGACACCUGAUGGCAACUAGCAUGCUGUAAACACAUUUUGAUCAGUCAAGAGGAAAGGAAAUGAGCCAGUGGCCCAAAAGUUAGAGACACCAUGACACGGAUUCCCACAAAAUCUUCACACUGGAUUACUCCGUUUUUGCCAACCUUUGUCUAAUGGGCUCUUUUUUCUUUUUUAAUUAAUUUUUGUAUUUGGCAGUUGGGUUAAAAGUCAACAGGAGUUGACUGGUGGUGGUGGUGGUGGUGGUUCGAUUCUGUGAGGUUGUGGAAAGCAGGUCCACAGAUAACGUCCACCAUCUGUGUGGCAUCUGCGUGGGUUGUCUCUGGGUAUUCUGGUUUUCUCCCGCGUCCCAAAGCUGUGCACUUGAGGUUCAUUGGUGUGUCUGCAGGGUCCCAGUCUGAGUGCAUGUGAAUGUGUGUGAGCGUGCCCUGCAAUGGCAUGGUGUCCUGUCCUGAGCUGGUUCCUGAUGCAUAGUUCUCCUGGCCCUGCAAUGGUUGAGCACAGACCCUGCUAAGCAGCCGUGCUGGGGAGUGGACUUCAACCUCAUGUGGCUCCAGCCAGCCUGGAACAAACGCCCCCAAUGUGUAGAAGCCAGCCACCUGGCCGACAGUCACCCUCUAGGAGCUAAGAAGAGUUUGCAUACCUGACAGCAGGUCAGCCUGGAAGCACCAUGAACUCUGUGCCAACACCGUGCCAGCACUGUGCAGACAGGGCACAGCACCGAGCUCAGCGCCCCGCAAGCAAGGUCCUGUUAAUUUCCAGGCCAGCUCUUCCCCCACCGGCCCCGCAAGCCUUCAGGGUGCCUCCCGCUCCGUGGCCCACCCCGCUGCCUGCCUCCUUCUACUGAUCUGUCAGCUCCGAUCUGACUCAAGGACCAAGGCUUAGUCGUCCUUCUACCUGCUCGGGUUCUUGCACAAGAAUAAACAAAUCGAUAAAAACCCUGGAUUGAGAGAUAAAGUUAAAAAAGACCUCAGAGUGGCCUGGUGCUGCGGCUUGCUCUUCACAGCCGGCCUCUCACUGGAGGAGGGAUCAGGGCGGGUCUCUGCUCCGCACUGCGCUGGUAAGAGCCUGGGAAGAGAUGCUGUCUGUGGUGAGCACGUGAUAGACAUUCCACGACCCGACCUGUCGGUGCCCUGGUUCUCAUUGUUUCUUCUCAUUUCCAGCUGCAUUUAUCUCUUGUCUAACUUGGGCAGUGUUAAGGGCACAACUGUGUUUAGCCCAUUAGCCAAUUUGUUUUCAGAUAAUAAUGCAAAUGGCUGUUACUCCCAACACACCUAACAAGACUGACAGCCAAUCUCAACUGCUUCUGUGUUUUCCUAUGGAUAUUUCUUCUAAAGAACUCCUAACUAUCUCUCUCCCUGAUGCCACAGAGCUCACGGCAGGCCCUGCCAUCAAGUUAGGGGACCCUGGAAGCCCCUGGAAGCCCUAGGCCGUAACUGCCUGACUGAGCUCCCUGUGGCUCUGCAAGGAACUGGGGCCAUCUCAGAGCUGCGUCCCAGUCUGUGGCCCCAGAAUCCCAACUAAAUGAAGUGCAGUCUCCCUGAGCAUCUCCACCAAGCCACGCAGGUGCUGCCAGAUUCAAAGGCAAUACACAGGCAGGAGUGAGUUACCUGUAUUAAAUCACAAACUGUGUGGCGAAGAUUCUAAGUGGAAAAGAGUGUUUUUACAAAUGGAUAGGCGGGUGAAGACACA